GAACUGCAUUCGAAACUGGCAGGCUUGAGUCUUGUAGAGGGGGGUAGAAUUCCAGGUGUAGCGGUGAAAUGCGUAGAGAUCUGGAGGAAUACCGGUGGCGAAGGCGGCCCCCUGGACAAAGACUGACGCUCAGGUGCGAAAGCGUGGGGAGCAAACAGGAUUAGAUACCCUGGUAGUCCACGCCGUAAACGAUGUCUACUUGGAGGUUGUGCCCUUGAGGCGUGGCUUCCGGAGCUAACGCGUUAAGUAGACCGCCUGGGGAGUACGGCCGCAAGGUUAAAACUCAAAUGAAUUGACGGGGGCCCGCACAAGCGGUGGAGCAUGUGGUUUAAUUCGAUGCAACGCGAAGAACCUUACCUGGUCUUGACAUCCACAGAACUUUCCAGAGAUGGAUUGGUGCCUUCGGGAACUGUGAGACAGGUGCUGCAUGGCUGUCGUCAGCUCGUGUUGUGAAAUGUUGGGUUAAGUCCCGCAACGAGCGCAAC
rnacentral:rRNA from 1 species